rnacentral:tRNA from 1 species
GGGCUGGAGCUCAAGGGUAGAGCACCUGCCUAGCACAUAUGAGGCACUGGGUUCAAUCCUCAGCACCACA